rnacentral:siRNA from 1 species
GAUGGAAAUGAUCAGGCUUCCACA